CUAGAGUCGCCCGCCGUAGACCGAUGAGGAUCGGUGGUCGGGGAAGCCGGUGAGAGACCGGCGCGGGCCCGCCACUGUGACCGAGGACGCCCCGCCGCACGCCCGCACGUGCAGCCACUGGACCGGAUCGUCUGGGAAGGCGCGGCCGGGAAUGCUCGGAAGCCAGGAGACCUACCUCCGAUCCGCCACCGUC
rnacentral:ncRNA from 2 species